AAUUGUCUGGCCUAGUGGUUUGAGCGUUGGACUACAACUCUGGAGACCAGGGUGCAAUUCCCAGCUCAGCCA